UGGAGCUCGAUAGGAGACUGAAGAUUAUGAUAUUUUAUUCUCUUUACAAUAUUUUAAACGGAAAGAGGUAAGGUAUAUUCCUCUAAUAUCGUUUAUUGUUCAAUUAUGUCUUCCGUUAUAUUUUUGGGCUAUUUUUACCCUUGCCGUUUGGCAAAGUUUUAAAUUUGCCCCUGAUUUGACGGACUUGCCACGUGGAGGCUGCUAAGUGAAGGUCCCAAUCCAUAACAAAAUAACCCACUCCCGUUCGGAUAAUCCGUGACCUGAUCCGACCCAUUACCAAUUAAAACCAAUCUGACCCUACAGUCUCCACCCUUGAAAAUUGCCACCACUAUAGACUACCAUACUCUUCCGUCGCCACCACCGCUGACGGAAAACUCUAAAUUGGCCAUCUAAUAACCAUCGUCUUCCUCUAUGAAAUUUAAAACCCAAAUUCCCCAUCUUCACGAAUUUGAAGAAAACAGAAUAGCCCUUGUCACCUCCGAAAACCAAAUAGCUCUCUUAGCUUGAAUAGCUGCACCUUUCAUUCCGAUGAGUAACCAGGUACGGUACUUGGCUCGCCGGUGUAUGUAUUCUAGCUCUUUGUUUGAACGAAAAGUCUGGUUAUUCUUCGGACUUUUAUUUCCCUAUACUCUGGUGGUCUAAGAUAAAUCCUGAGGUCAUGAGUUGAGUUUUGAGCACCUGAGGUUGGCAUCAGCAGGUGAACCAACAGUAGUGGUGAGCAACAAAAGAAAAUCUGAAACACCUUACAAGUUCUAUGCACCUUCAAAAAUCAAACCAGACAACCAUCGAGUUUGACCGAAAAUUUCGCCGACGAUUCCAGCUUGUCAAUGAUGGGAAUUUGAUGGCGCUGACAACAAAGAAGAUUUCAAAAGUAAAUUGAGAAAGAUUUUUAAGGAAUGACUCUUUAUAAUUGUUGUCCUGGGUCUUGUGUAAAAAGAUGAAAUUGUUAAUAAAGGAUGGUGAAAAUGGUCCUAAAAUAAAACUUCUCUAAUAAUGGUAUUGGUGGUUCCCCUGUUCAUAUGGUUUCUUCUGGUAAUAGUGAGAUUGUCUCUCUGAUGUGAUUUUAAUAAAAAAUAUGACUAUGUUUUACUUCAAUGUCAAAAAGUUAUGGUGGAAUACUGGAAAUGUGACCCAAUUGAAUUUUGUUGAA